CCCUUAGAUGUUCUGGGCUGCACGCGCGCUACACUGAUGCGCUCAACGAGUUUUAACCUUGCCUGGAAAGGUUGGGUAAUCUUUUUAAAACGCAUCGUGAUGGGGAUAGAUUAUUGCAAUUAUUAAUCUUCAACGAGGAAUUCCUAGUAAGCGCGAGUCAUCAGCUCGUGCUGAUUACGUCCCUGCCCUUUGUACACACCGCCCGUCGCUCCUACCGAUUGGAUGGUCCGGUGAAGCCUCGGGAUUGUGGUUCUUGCCGCUUUAUUGUGGCGUGACCGCGAGAACUUGUCUAAACCUUAUCAUCUAGAGGAAGGUGAAGUCGUAACA
rnacentral:rRNA from 1 species